rnacentral:rRNA from 2 species
AUUGAACGCUGGCGGCAGGCUUAACACAUGCAAGUCGAGCGGGGGAAAGUAGCUUGCUACUGGACCUAGCGGCGGACGGGUGAGUAAUGCUUAGGAAUCUGCCUAUUAGUGGGGGACAACAUUCCGAAAGGAAUGCUAAUACCGCAUACGUCCUACGGGAGAAAGCAGGGGACCUUCGGGCCUUGCGCUAAUAGAUGAGCCUAAGUCGGAUUAGCUAGUUGGUGGGGUAAAGGCCUACCAAGGCGACGAUCUGUAGCGGGUCUGAGAGGAUGAUCCGCCACACUGGGACUGAGACACGGCCCAGACUCCUACGGGAGGCAGCAGUGGGGAAUAUUGGACAAUGGGGGGAACCCUGAUCCAGCCAUGCCGCGUGUGUGAAGAAGGCCUUAUGGUUGUAAAGCACUUUAAGCGAGGAGGAGGCUACUAGUAUUAAUACUACUGGAUAGUGGACGUUACUCGCAGAAUAAGCACCGGCUAACUCUGUGCCAGCAGCCGCGGUAAUACAGAGGGUGCGAGCGUUAAUCGGAUUUACUGGGCGUAAAGCGUGCGUAGGCGGCCAUUUAAGUCAAAUGUGAAAUCCCCGAGCUUAACUUGGGAAUUGCAUUCGAUACUGGAUGGCUAGAGUAUGGGAGAGGAUGGUAGAAUUCCAGGUGUAGCGGUGAAAUGCGUAGAGAUCUGGAGGAAUACCGAUGGCGAAGGCAGCCAUCUGGCCUAAUACUGACGCUGAGGUACGAAAGCAUGGGGAGCAAACAGGAUUAGAUACCCUGGUAGUCCAUGCCGUAAACGAUGUCUACUAGCCGUUGGGGCCUUUGAGGCUUUAGUGGCGCAGCUAACGCGAUAAGUAGACCGCCUGGGGAGUACGGUCGCAAGACUAAAACUCAAAUGAAUUGACGGGGGCCCGCACAAGCGGUGGAGCAUGUGGUUUAAUUCGAUGCAACGCGAAGAACCUUACCUGGCCUUGACAUACUAGAAACUUUCCAGAGAUGGAUUGGUGCCUUCGGGAAUCUAGAUACAGGUGCUGCAUGGC